rnacentral:rRNA from 1 species
ACGGGAGGCAGCAGUGGGGAAUAUUGCACAAUGGGGGAAACCCUGAUGCAGCGACGCCGCGUGAGUGAAGAAGUAUUUCGGUAUGUAAAGCUCUAUCAGCAGGGAAGAUGAUGACGGUACCUGACUAAGAAGCCCCGGCUAACUACGUGCCAGCAGCCGCGGUAAUACGUAGGGGGCAAGCGUUAUCCGGAUUUACUGGGUGUAAAGGGAGCGUAGGCGGCCAGACAAGUCAGGUGUGAAAACCCGGGGCUUAACCCCGGGACUGCACUUGAAACUGCCUGGCUGGAGUGCAGGAGAGGCAAGUGGAAUUCCUAGUGUAGCGGUGAAAUGCGUAGAUAUUAGGAAGAACACCGGUGGCGAAGGCGACUUGCUGGACUGAGACUGACGCUGAGGCUCGAAAGCGUGGGGAGCAAACAGGAUUAGAUACCCUGGUA